GGAUGACCUCCUCUGGUUCUGAAUUCUUGGCAGGGCCUUUGGCCAUUGGCUCUAGGAAUGAGAAGAACCCCAUGAGGUAGAAUUCUUCCCUGUGGCAGAUCAGCUGCUGAUCCCACCACGUGAAGACACUGAUAUUAGAUGAUUCUGAAGAUAAGCCAUGUUUGGGAACCCAGAACUCAACCUUUCACAUCUUUGGAUUUCCACGCUCUAAUGAUCAGAAUCAAAGUGAACUUUCCCUCAAGUACAUGAGCUCAAGAGGGACUCUUGAAUAUUAAAAGAUAUCAUAAUAUUAGUGAUAUCAAGUAUUACCCUAGGAAUCAAAAUGCUAAUUAGUGAAAUGCAACCAUAGUGCUCUCAUUAAUAAGGCUGAAUUUUAUCACAGUUCUAUGAACAAAGAUAUUACUUUUGCUUAUAUAUUUUUUUUAUCAGCAGCAAAAACCAUUAAGUUAUGAUUAGAUCUCAUCAGGACUGCUUUAGGAUUGCAUUUAGGAUCCUUCGAUACUAAAGAACCACUGAAAGAAUUGAAUGGUGUAAGGCACCUUCUAACUCAAAUAUUGGAGAAUUCUAGUUAGCCAGGUCACUGUUCUUUUCAGUCCUCCAUCUGUCCAUUGAGGCUGAAGAUUUCUAAAUUCAAGUCUCAGCUGACAACUUACCUCUUCUGAAGAGCUCAUUUUGCUGCCUGUUAAUCCUGGAACCAUAGGAUUCAUCAGAUGGACCCGUUUUGAAUAGCCAAGUGCAGGGAGGUACUGAGAGAUUAGAGAAACACACAAAAGCAGGUAUUAGUCUAAGUUCCUCCUCGGUGCCCUGAUCUCAUCUAACUUGGCCAGCAACUGAGUAGCUGUUAUAUUGCUUCCAAUCUUCUUAUACCAAAUAUAAAGAUUUAGUUUUUGAUAGU